UACAGAGGUCUCAAGCGUUGUUCGGAUUCAUUGGGCGUAAAGGGCGCGUAGGCGGCGGGGUAAGUCGGGUGUGAAAUCUCAGAGCUCAACUCUGAAACUGCACUCGAUACUGCUCUGCUUGGGGACUGGAGAGGAGACUGGAAUUCACGGUGUAGCAGUGAAAUGCGUAGAUAUCGUGAGGAAGACCAGUGGCGAAGGCGGGUCUCUGGACAGUUCCUGACGCUGAGGCGCGAAGGCCAGGGGAGCAAACGGG
rnacentral:rRNA from 1 species